rnacentral:pre_miRNA from 1 species
AGUGGAGAGAGCUCUAUCUCAUGAAACCUAGCAGAGCGUAUGAGAUUCAACUCCUCCAACUUC